UACAGAGGGUGCGAGCGUUGUCCGGAAUCACUGGGCGUAAAGGGCGCGUAGGCGGCCUGAUAAGUAGGGGGUGAAAUCUUGCGGCUCAACCGCAAGGCUGCCUUCUAAACUGUCAGGCUGGAGCACGGUAGAGGCAGAUGGAAUUCCCGGUGUAGCGGUGGAAUGCGUAGAGAUCGGGAAGAACAUCCGUGGCGAAAGCGCUCUGCUGGACUGCAACUGACAUUGAGGGACGAAAGCUAGGGGAGCGAAUGGG
rnacentral:rRNA from 1 species